rnacentral:rRNA from 1 species
UGAACGCUGGCGGCAUGCCUUACACAUGCAAGUCGAACGGCAGCACGGGUGCUUGCACCUGGUGGCGAGUGGCGAACGGGUGAGUAAUACAUCGGAACAUGUCCUGUAGUGGGGGAUAGCCCGGCGAAAGCCGGAUUAAUACCGCAUACGAUCUACGGAUGAAAGCGGGGGACCUUCGGGCCUCGCGCUAUAGGGUUGGCCGAUGGCUGAUUAGCUAGUUGGUGGGGUAAAGGCCUACCAAGGCGACGAUCAGUAGCUGGUCUGAGAGGACGACCAGCCACACUGGGACUGAGACACGGCCCAGACUCCUACGGGAGGCAGCAGUGGGGAAUUUUGGACAAUGGGCGAAAGCCUGAUCCAGCAAUGCCGCGUGUGUGAAGAAGGCCUUCGGGUUGUAAAGCACUUUUGUCCGGAAAGAAAUCCUUGGCUCUAAUACAGUCGGGGGAUGACGGUACCGGAAGAAUAAGCACCGGCUAACUACGUGCCAGCAGCCGCGGUAAUACGUAGGGUGCGAGCGUUAAUCGGAAUUACUGGGCGUAAAGCGUGCGCAGGCGGUUUGCUAAGACCGAUGUGAAAUCCCCGGGCUCAACCUGGGAACUGCAUUGGUGACUGGCAGCUAGAGUAUGGCAGAGGGGGGUAGAAUUCCACGUGUAGCAGUGAAAUGCGUAGAGAUGUGGAGGAAUACCGAUGGCGAAGCAGCCCCUGGGCCAUACUGACGCUCAUGCACGAAAGCGUGGGGAGCAAACAGGAUUAGAUACCUGGUAGUCCACGCCCUAAACGAUGUCAACUAGUUGUUGGGGAUUCAUUUCCUUAGUAACGUAGCUAACGCGUGAAGUUGACCGCCUGGGGAGUACGGUCGCAAGAUUAAAACUCAAAGGAAUUGACGGGGACCCGCACAAGCGGUGGAUGAUGUGGAUUAAUUCGAUGCAACGCGAAAAACCUUACCUACCCUUGACAUGGUCGGAAUCCCGCUGAGAGGUGGGAGUGCUCGAAAGAGAACCGGCGCACAGGUGCUGCAUGGCUGUCGUCAGCUCGUGUCGUGAGAUGUUGGGUUAAGUCCCGCAACGAGCGCAACCCUUGUCCUUAGUUGCUACGCAAGAGCACUCUAAGGAGACUGCCGGUGACAAACCGGAGGAAGGUGGGGAUGACGUCAAGUCCUCAUGGCCCUUAUGGGUAGGGCUUCACACGUCAUACAAUGGUCGGAACAGAGGGUUGCCAACCCGCGAGGGGGAGCUAAUCCCAGAAAACCGAUCGUAGUCCGGAUUGCACUCUGCAACUCGAGUGCAUGAAGCUGGAAUCGCUAGUAAUCGCGGAUCAGCAUGCCGCGGUGAAUACGUUCCCGGGUCUUGUACACACCGCC